rnacentral:lncRNA from 1 species
GGGCAAGUAUGUACACAACAUACAAGCUUAAUACAGCUCUGAAUUUGGAUUGUGAUUAAAUAGUUGACACAGCAAAGGUUUCUGACACAGAAUGAAUGUGGUCUAAGGAACUUACUGUUUUUGGCUUUUGAGCAAUACACUAUGCUGUUGAAUAUAAAUCCCCUCAAAAAAACAAUUUGAAGAAAAAUUCUUUUUAAUUUCUGAAAUCUGAAAUGAGAAAAAUGUUACCCCUCACUCCUUCCCAUUUUUUUUCACAUCCCC